UAUAUCUAAAUAGGAGGCCCCACUACAUGAUUUUACAGCCUUGUGGUGCUUCCACGUCAUCGUUAAUUCUCCCGCAGCGUUGCAUGUCGCCUGACGCGCUGGUCGUUCUCUUCCUGUCCCGAAUUUUCUCAACAUGGGCUGCCAGGCCGGGUGUUGCUUCUUCGUGCGUGACCUCUACUUGGGCUUCUUUGUACGUGGACUGUUCGUCUUCUCUGAUGAUGCUCUCCGCCGCCGCCGCCGUUACCUACAAUUCAUGGCUACUAAUCCUCCCAGUACGAACUGCCACAAAUGAUCAUGAAACUGUCCCACGAUACACAUCAUUCAUCAGCCAUCAUUGCCCCCACAAAUACACAAAAAACUUCUAGGUCGAAUUGAGCCGUCGCGGCCUCGUGUUUAAAAAGCUCCUCGUGGUUCCAUCUACGUCCAUUCUGGCAGCGGUAUCCAUUCUGAUGGCAUCUAUCUCUGGCAGCGGUAUCCAUUCUGGCAGCUAUCCGCUCGAGAUUCCCUUUCUCCCUUUCUUUCAAUCGAGAACUGCUCGAUGUAUUGCCUGCCCCUAUUUGAUUGGAAUUUCAUUCAAGGUUGCAGAAUUGCUGUUGAUUAAUGUGAUUUGCUCUAGCUGAUUGCGUCCGUGAACACACUGGAUUGAAGUCGGCCCCUUGAGGAAGGCGAUGCUAUCAUGCACAGCUGAGGUAAUUAUGUUUUCCAAAGAUCUGGACAAAUCACCUUGCAAUACUGCAGAAAUUCGCUCUCAUGUAUGCUUUCAUAAUCUUCUUUAUCACUGAACACGUCUUCAGUUUGUCACUAUUGUUGUAUGCUGAAUGUAUCUCUUAACAGUUGACUUAUAUGUAGGAUUGCAGAUUGGUCUUUCAUAAUCUUCUUCUAUCAUGGAGUGUUAUAUUAUGAAAAAAGAUUUAAUGUUUCUAUGCUGAAAGUUAACGCGGAGAAUUGGUCACUCCUUACUUUUUUAGUUGCAGACCAGAAUUUUUUUUUAGUUGCAGACCAGAAUUGACUUGAUCCGAUCACAUUGCUAUCUCACAUAGGAAGACACACGAGGGAGUGAUUUUGCAUGUGUUGAAGUUAGCAGCUUUUUGUUCUAUCUUUUCUCUUCAUAUUCUGAAGAAUUACAACGAAGAGCGUUGAGAUAAAAAAACUUGAGUAAGUUUGACGCCAUAUCCCGCCCUAGGCAUGAUAUCCUACACACACAUGUAGCUCGAUCCGCUUCCAAACUGCUCAAUAAACCACUUGGACGUUGCAUGGAAUAAGCACACUUACCGCUGAUGUUAUUUUUAACAGAGAACUAAACACUACCUAACAAGCUAUUUAGGUACAGGUUCGGAACAAUCAAAGUUAACAGUUUUCCUGGCCUUCUUCAGAUCAUUUGCUUUGUUUCUAUAUAUGAUGAAACUUCCGUGGUUGUGCUUCAGAUUCCGAAGUUCCAAUCUAUAGAUUUGAAAAGAAUGGAACAAUUGCAUAAUCUGCUAUGGAAUGCCAAGUUCAAUCCUUGAACCGAUGUUAAUCACUGUGAGUGUAAAAACUUUGGUCAGUCAUUUACAUACAAAACUGAUGGAUAUAAGGAAAUUCGGAACUUGCAGCAGCACUUGAACUUGCAAUGUCGUGCUUCUCUCAUUUCACGGUUAAAUCAUGUGAUGCCUCUCUCACCUUUGAUGAUUGUAUUUUUACUCCCUUCACUUCUAUCCAAUAGUAUUAUCCCCGAGUGUUUUUUGAGCAUCAAGAGAGCAUGAUAUUGCCUGUAAGUUGUGGAAGGCAAUGCCAUUGGUUACAAGUUCCCUUAUGUCCAGGGUUGGUUUUAUUCCUGAGUUAUUCUCAUUGCAAACAUAAGUACCACUGUAAUAUCACAUACAAGUUAGUUUUAUAUGUGUUUUUGACUAUAUAU